GCCCCCUCCCCCCAUUGGCACCCUCCCAAUGCAAAUUAUUGAUGAUAGAAGAAAAUAUGCAAUUCAACCAGAGGCUCAGGGUGGUGGACCAUGAUGGAAAAAAGUCAGGUGGUUGCAAAAUGAAAAGAAAAUUUUUCAAAUGCUCAAAUGGACAAAAAUACAAUCAAUACUAAAAAAGAGGGAAUUAUUGAUGACAUUUAAAGCACUUAGGGGUAUGGCUCCAGAAUACUUAACACAGAUGUUUCAUGUCUCCGUUAACCAAACCUACCAUCUACGAAAUAAUCAUCAAAAGCUUUACCUACCAAAACCUAAGACGAAUUUUUUAAAACGAAGCUUCUCCUAUAGAGGAGCAGUUUCAUGGAACCAAAUUUUAAUGGAAAAACUUCCAAUUAUGGAAAUACCUGAAACUUCCAUCUGUUCUUUUAAAAGAUUAAUAGAUGGCUUGUGUUUUUGAAUUGGGAGGUCAUCCUGCCAAACCAUAUCAAAGCAUUAUGCUUUGCCGAUGUAAAUAGAGUAUAUUAUGCAUGAUUGUUUAUUUUUUGGUUUUUUUUUUUAGUUAAUAAUUUUAAUAUUCUUAUAAUAUUUUAUAGUAAGUGUGCACGGCCCUUUGAAAAACAGGCUUCUGAAAGGCUACCGUGAAUAAAUAAGCUUAAAUAAUAAUAAUAAUAAUAAAAUAAAAUGACAGUGAUUUAUUGAGGAAACUAGUAGUUAGUGACAAAGAGCCGCUGUUUCAUCUGGAAGUAUGGAUUUUUUAAAGAGAUGUUUGAGUCCCUCAAUGAAACAGCAGCAGUUUGAAAUGCAGGGAUGUCAAUUUGAUGUUUCCAGGCCUUUCGGCUGAAGUUACUCCAGAUGUUUGGAGAUACUCAGUCACUCCAAACAAUGGGCCUUCGCUCAAAACAUCAAAAUUCUCCUUACAUUUUUCAGGUAGUUGCACACUUCCUACACUGGCACAGACAGUUCAAAAAAUAACUGCAUGUAUUACUUUAUUAACUUAUAGAAUUUACAACACACAAUUUGAGAAGCAGGGUACUUGACAUUACAUAACGAUUUAUACACACCAUUCUUAACAUGAAUUAUUGACAGAAUAAAGCUUUGGAGUGUCUUUCUGAGAUUAGCAAGAACUACACCCAGUACGUUUCUGGAGUCUUUAAAGACACAAUGUAUUGAGGUUAUGGUAUAAUUAGAAAUGGAUAGAAUGGAUUACUGUAUUUCUUGAAAAAUUAGCAGAUAUGUUAACAGCAGGGGCAACUGCCCCCCCAGAUAAAAUUUAAC